UGAUGUUUGUUGCAGGAAUAGA
rnacentral:misc_RNA from 1 species